GGCUCCUUGUGGUGAAGUAAAAUAAGGAGUCGGACCUGCCCGGUGAAAUUUUUAACGGCCGCGGUACUCUGACCGUGCAAAGGUAGCAUAAUCAUUUGCCUUAUAAUUGAAGGCUAGUAUGAAUGGUUUGACAAGAAUACAGCUGUCUCUUUAUAAUUUGAUAGAAUUUUAUUUUAGGGUGAAGAAGCCCUAAUAAAAUUAAAAGACAAGAAGACCCUAUCGAGCUUUAAAAAAAUUUAUAGGAAUUAAUUAAUAAAUGGUUUUUAAAAAAUUAACUAUUAAAUAUUUUGGUUGGGGCGACUAAGGAACAAAAAAAGCUUCCUUUAACAAUAAUAUACAUACGGGUAUUGAUCCAAAAUUUUUGAUUAAAGAAAUUAGUUACCGUAGGGAUAACAGCAUUAUCUUUUUUGAGAGUUCUUAUCGAAAAAAAGGUUUGUGACCUCGAUGUUGGACCAGAAUAUCCUAAAGAUGCAGAAGUCUUUAAGGGUUGGUCUGUUCGACCAUUAAAAUUCU
rnacentral:rRNA from 1 species